AAGGUUCAUUUAGCGACUCGAUUCCACUUCCACUUAUAAAUUACUAAUUUUUACUCAGGAGUCUAAAUCGACUAUGCUGUUCACAAACAACACUGUGAUCUGUAGCGAGAGUAGAGAGUAGGGAGCAGGUGGAGGAGAGCCUGGAUAGAUGGAGGUAUGCACUGGAGAGGAGAGGAAUGAAAGUCAGUCGAAAUGAGACAGAAUACGUGUGUGAAUGAGAGGAAGACAGGUGGAAAGGUGAACAUGCAAGGAGGACAAGUGGUGAAGGUGGAUGAGUUUAAAUACCUGUGGUCAACCAUCCACAAACAGUACAGCGCACAAGAGAGGUGAAGACGAGAGUGCAGGCGGGUGGAGUGGGUGGAGAUGAGAGUCAGGGGUGAUUUGUGACAUAAGGAAAGCAGCGAGAGUGAAAGGGAAGGUUUAUUAGAUGGUAGUGAGACCUGUGAUGAUGUAUGGUUUGAAGUGAAAAAAGCGAGGAGGCUGAGCUGGAGGUGCUGAGCGAGAAAUAAGUAAAUCAGAGAGGCAGCUGAGGAUACACAGGUGUGGUUUGGACAUGCGCAGAGGAGGGAGAGUGGAUAUGAUUGGUGACAGAGUAUAGGAUAGGGUGAGAUCGAGUAGGAGCAGCGCCCUCUGCUGGUGUCUCCAGACUUGAGGGUCGGACCACGGUUUCUCCUCCUGUUUGCUUCGUUGCAGUUCUUUUACUUCCUGUCUGUGCAGGGUGGAAGAGAAGACUGUCAGCUGACACCCAGAUGAACAUCAGCCAGGGAAAGUGGAAAGUCACAGCUAUGACAUUGGCAUUUCUGGAUAUUUACACUUCAUAGCUCUGCCACAUGUUGUUUGCACACCUAAAAUAGAGCACUUUCCUAAGCUGUACAUUAAACACAGCAACACGCUCAGGACGGUCAAUGACAGAGGUCUGUACCUUUUUGUCACUCAGUCCGGACACUGUGUCGAUGUACUGCUCCUGGAUCAUAAAGGCUGCCAGGUUGGCUGUGUAGGAAGCCAGGAAGAUGACAGCAAAGAAAGCCCAGACCAGGACCAUGAUCUUGCUAGUGGUGCCCUUUGGAUUCUCAACAGGGACAGAGUUAUUGAAGACAAUUCCCCACAGCAGCCACACAGACUUCCCGAUGGUAAAGGUGGGACCUCCGGGAUCUAGAAAGGAUGAAGUCAAGAGGGGAUGAUUUAGUACAGGCCAGGACGAUGACCCAGGUGUCUGUGAAAUCUAACACAUGUUUAAAAUAUUUAAUUAUUUGUUAAUUAAUAUCUUGAUGUGUUUUUUGGUAACAUAUUAGAGAUAGUGGCCGAAAAACGGUGUCUGCAAAGAUUGCUCUUGUUUGGCUAAUAUUUGACAUUUAUCCAUUUCAUGCUGGCUGAAUAUUUAAAUAUGGUUUAAUGAAGGCCUGAAAUACUUAUUGUUCAGUCUUUUACUUCUGAUUAUAAUUGAGUUUUUCCCCCUAAUGGCUCAAUCACAGUAAACUAGAAAUAGGAAGGCAACAUCCUUGUGACUAGGGAAAAUUGGUAGUUGCCUGGUGAUUGCACAGGUUGGCUGGUGGGAGGCAACCAGUCUCCAAACAGUUACUGUACAAUUUAGAUCGACUGCAAUCACUCUGAGAUAGACUGGUGAAGAUUUGUGCAUUAUCUCAGUCAGUUUGCACCAAUGAGCCCAGUUCAUCUGUGAUGUGACUCUUUGCAAUUUGAGAACACACUGGUUGCAACUGGUAUUUGAUCAGAUUAGUAUAUACAAGCAAGGUGGCCAAGAUUGACUCUUUAUUUUCCAAAUAUUACCACCUGGACUUAUGUUGUCAUUUUCACUGUAAAAUUACAAAAUAAAUCAAAUUUUUCAGAAACGGUUUGAAAUUUCUCUGUAGCUCAAAAUGGUUGAGUUAUGGAAAUGUGAAGCACACAUAUCAUGUGCUUCCAUGAUAA